GAGUGGAGGUGUUGAUUCUAGAAGACAGUUUGGAGGAGUGGAGGUGUUGAUUCUAGUAGACAGUAUAGAGGAGUGGAGGUGUUGAUUCUAGAAGACAGUUUGGAGGAGUGGAGGUGUUGAUUCUAGUAGACAGUAUAGAGGAGUGGAGGUGUUGAUUCUAGAAGACAGUUUGGAGGAGUGGAGGUGUUGAUUCUAGUAGACAGUAUGUAGGAGUGGAGGUGUUGAUUCUAGAAGAAAGUAUGGAGGAGUGAAAGAGUAGAGGUGUUUAUUCUAAUAGACAGUACGGAGUAGUGGGAGAGUGGAGGUGUUGAUUCUAGAAGACAGUAGGGAGGAGUGGAGGUGUUGAUUCUAGAAGACAGUAUGGAGGAGUGGAUGUGUUGAUUCUAGUAGACAGUAUGGAGGAGUGGAGGUGUUGAUUCUAGUAGACAGUAUGGAGGAAUGAAAGAGUGGAGGUGUUGAUUCUAAUAGACAGUACGGAGGAGUGGAGGUGUUGAUUCUAAUAGACAGUAUAGAGGAGUGGAGGUGUUGAUUCUAGAAGACAGUGUGGAGGAGUGAAAGAGUGGAGGUGUUGAUUUUAGUAGACAGUAUGGAGGAGUGGAGGUGUUGAUUCUCAUAGACAGUAUAGAGGAGUGGGCGUGUUGAUUC
rnacentral:lncRNA from 1 species